UGGCUAAGGGUCCUAGAGAUGCUUUGAAUGUU
rnacentral:piRNA from 1 species